rnacentral:rRNA from 1 species
CCUACGGGGGGCUGCAGUGAGGAAUAUUGGUCAAUGGACGAGAGUCUGAACCAGCCAAGUAGCGUGAAGAAUGACUGCCCUAUGGGUUGUAAACUUCUUUUAUAUGGGAAUAAAAUGUUCCACGUGUGGGAUUUUGUAUGUACCAUAUGAAUAAGGAUCGGCUAACUCCGUGCCAGCAGCCGCGGUAAUACGGAGGAUCCGAGCGUUAUCCGGAUUUAUUGGGUUUAAAGGGAGCGUAGGUGGAUUGUUAAGUCAGUUGUGAAAGUUUGCGGCUCAACCGUAAAAUUGCAGUUGAAACUGGCAGUCUUGAGUACAGUAGAGGUGGGCGGAAUUCGUGGUGUAGCGGUGAAAUGCUUAGAUAUCACGAAGAACUCCGAUUGCGAAGGCAGUUCACUGGACUGCAACUGACACUGAGGCUCGAAAGUGUGGGUAUCAAACAGGAUUAGAUACCCUUGUAGUC